rnacentral:rRNA from 1 species
CGGAGGAUCCAAGCGUUAUCCGGAAUCAUUGGGUUUAAAGGGUCCGUAGGCGGGUUUAUGAGUCAGUGGUGAAAGCCCAUCGCUCAACGAUGGAACGGCCAUUGAUACUGUAGAUCUUGAAUUAUUAGGAAGUAACUAGAAUAUGUAGUGUAGCGGUGAAAUGCUUAGAGAUUACAUGGAAUACCAAUUGCGAAGGCAGGUUACUACUAAUGGAUUGACGCUGAUGGACGAAAGCGUGGGUAGCGAACAGGAUUAGAUACCCUGGUAGUCCACGCCGUAAACGAUGGAUACUAGCUGUUCGGAGCAAUCUGAGUGGCUAAGCGAAAGUGAUAAGUAUCCCACCUGGGGAGUACGUUCGCAAGAAUG